UACCAGCACCCCGAGUGGUCGGGACGUUUAUUGGGCCUAAAGCAUCCGUAGCCGGUUCUACAAGUCUUCCGUUAAAUCCACCUGCUUAACAGAUGGGCUGCGGAAGAUACUAUGGAGCUAGGAGGCGGGAGAGGCAAGCGGUACUCGAUGGGUAGGGGUAAAAUCCGUUGAUCCAUUGAAGACCACCAGUGGCGAAGGCGGCUUGCCAGAACGCGCUCGACGGUGAGGGAUGAGAGCUGGGGGAGCAAACCGG
rnacentral:rRNA from 1 species